rnacentral:rRNA from 1 species
UACGUAGGGGGCUAGCGUUGUCCGGAAUCAUUGGGCGUAAAGCGCGCGUAGGCGGCCCGGUAAGUCCGCUGUGAAAGUCCAGGGCUCAACCCUGGAAAGCCGGUGGAUACUGCCGGGCUAGAGUCCGGGAGAGGCGAGUGGAAUUCCUGGUGUAGCGGUGGAAUGCGCAGAUAUCGCCUGGAACGCCGACGGUGAAAACAGCUCGCUGGGGGUGUUCUGACGCUGAGACACGAAAGCCAGGGGAGCGAACGGG